UACGUAGGGUGCGAGCGUUAAUCGGAAUUACUGGGCGUAAAGCGUGCGCAGGCGGUGAUGUAAGACCGAUGUGAAAUCCCCGGGCUUAACCUGGGAACUGCAUUGGUGACUGCAUUGCUGGAGUAUGGCAGAGGGGGGUGGAAUUCCACGUGUAGCAGUGAAAUGCGUAGAGAUGUGGAGGAACACCGGUGGCGAAGGCGGAUCUCUGGGCCAUAACUGACGCUGAGGAGCGAAAGCAUGGGGAGCGAACGGG
rnacentral:rRNA from 1 species